GCAAAAAGAGCCGGCAAAGCAGCAGACGUUUUCUACUGCCUCAAGCUCCUGGAGGCAACAGGAAUUUCCACUGUUCCGGGCUCUGGUUUUGGGCAAAAGGAAGGGGUGUUCCACCUUCGGACAACUAUCCUUCCAGCGGAGGAAGACUUCCCUGCCAUCAUGUCGAGCUUCAAGAAGUUCAACGACUCGUUCAUGGAGCAAUACGAAGGCUACUCCAG
rnacentral:misc_RNA from 1 species